UUUCGCGGGGUGUAUCUUCUAACCCUAAAUCCGGGUUCUUUCCUGUACCAAAUGUUUGCUGUUUUCUCUCGGACUUUCAGCGAGCUACAGGAGGAUUUCAAACAUGUCGCGGAUAUGUUUCAGAGGGCGUAAAAAAAAAAAGUCCAUGAGUAUCACUCCGUUAUGUUCAGUUCCCGGUCAGAAACACCGUGAAAGACGCCGUGGUCAGUGAGUCUGCCGCGAGGAGCUCGUCUCCGCUGCUCCGGUGUGCUCCCGGGUCACGUCCGCAAAACUGACACAGAAAAGUGAGAGUGGCGCCCCGGCCCGACCCUCCCAUGGUCCCGCGCGGACGCCACAUUCAUACAUAU
rnacentral:telomerase_RNA from 1 species